rnacentral:rRNA from 1 species
CCCUUAGAUGUUCUGGGCUGCACACGUGCUACACUGGCAGGUUCAGCGAGCUUCAUGCCCUGAUCUGAAAGGAAUGGGAAAUCUUUUCAAAACCUGCCGUGCUUGGGAUAGAUGUUUGCAAUUAUUCAUCUUCAACGAGGAUUGCCUUGUAAGCGCACGUCAUCAGCGUGCAUUGAAUACGACCCUGUAUUCUGUACACACCGCCCGUCGCUCCUACCGAUUGAAGUUUUCGGUGAGUUGACAGGAGGAUUUUUUUGAAACUGGUUCGCCAGUGGAUUUUAGAUCCAAAUGCCAACGAAUCGAUGGCUUUAGAGGAAGGAGAAGUCGUGACA